UAACACAUGCAAGUCGAACGAAGUAGCAAUACUUAGUGGCAGACGGGUGAGUAACAUGUAGGUAUCUACCCUUUGGCCUGGAAUAACACGAGGAAACUUGUGCUAAUACCGGAUAAGUCUUUACGGAGAAAGCUUUAUGCACCAUUGGAUGAGCCUGCACUUGAUUAGUUUGUUGGUAGGGUAAUGGCCUACCAAGACUGUGAUCAAUAGCUGAUUUGAGAGGAUGAUCAGCCACAUUGGGACUGAGACACGGCCCAAACUCCUACGGGAGGCAGCAGUGGGGAAUCUUGCACAAUGGAGGAAACUCUGAUGCAGCGAUGCCGCGUGAGUGAAGAAGGCCCUUGGGUUGUAAAGCUCUUUCGUCGGGGAAGAAAAUGACUGUACCCGAAUAAGAAGGUCCGGCUAACUUCGUGCCAGCAGCCGCGGUAAUACGAAGGGACCUAGCGUAGUUCGGAAUUACUGGGCUUAAAGAGUUCGUAGGUGGUUGAAAAAGUUGGUGGUGAAAUCCCAGAGCUUAACUCUGGAACUGCCAUCAAAACUUUUCAGCUAGAGUUUGAUAGAGGAAAGCAGAAUUUCUAGUGUAGAGGUGAAAUUCGUAGAUAUUAGAAAGAAUACCAAUUGCGAAGGCAGCUUUCUGGAUCAUUACUGACACUGAGGAACGAAAGCAUGGGUAGCGAAGAGGAUUAGAUACCCUCGUAGUCCAUGCCGUAAACGAUGUGUGUUAGACGUUGGAAAUUUAUUUUCAGUGUCGCAGCGAAAGCAAUAAACACACCGCCUGGGGAGUACGACCGC
rnacentral:rRNA from 1 species